rnacentral:rRNA from 1 species
UCGAAGGAGUGGCGAACGGGUGAGUAAUACAUAAGCAACCUACCCACGAAGACUGGGAUAAUCUCUGGAAACGGGGACUAAUACCGGAUAGGUAAUCGGAAGGCAUCUUCUGGUUAUUAAAGGUUAAAAACACUGGUGGAUGGGCUUAUGGCGCAUUAGUUAGUUGGUGAGGUAACGGCCCACCAAGACGAUGAUGCGUAGCCGGCCUGAGGGGGUGAACGGCCACAUUGGGACUGAGACACGGCCCAG